UAGGGAAUCUUCCGCAAUGGGCGAAAGCCUGACGGAGCAAUGCCGCGUGAGUGAUGAAGGUCUUCGGAUCGUAAAACUCUGUUAUUAGGGAAGAACAAAUGUGUAAGUAACUAUGCACGUCUUGACGGUACCUAAUCAGAAAGCCACGGCUAACUACGUGCCAGCAGCCGCGGUAAUACGUAGGUGGCAAGCGUUAUCCGGAAUUAUUGGGCGUAAAGCGCGCGUAGGCGGUUUUUUAAGUCUGAUGUGAAAGCCCACGGCUCAACCGUGGAGGGUCAUUGGAAACUGGAAAACUUGAGUGCAGAAGAGGAAAGUGGAAUUCCAAGUGUAGCGGUGAAAUGCGCAGAGAUAUGGAGGAACACCAGUGGCGAAGGCGGCUUACUGGUCUGUAACUGACGCUGAUGUGCGAAAGCGUGGGGAUCAAACAGG
rnacentral:rRNA from 1 species